GGCUAGCGUUGCUCGGAAUUACUGGGCGUAACGCGCACGUAGGCGGCUCUUUAAGUCGGGGGUGAAAUCCUGGAGCUCAACUCCAGAACUGCCUUCGAUACUGGAGAGCUUGAGUUCGGGAGAGGUGAGUGGAACUGCGAGUGUAGAGGUGAAAUUCGUAGAUAUUCGCAAGAACACCAGUGGCGAAGGCGGCUCACUGGCCCGAUACUGACGCUGAGGUGCGAAAGCGUGGGGAGCAAACAGG
rnacentral:rRNA from 1 species